rnacentral:rRNA from 1 species
GAUGAACGCUGGCGGCGUGCCUAAUACAUGCAAGUCGAGCGAACGGACGAGAAGCUUGCUUCUCUGAUGUUAGCGGCGGACGGGUGAGUAACACGUGGAUAACCUACCUAUAAGACUGGGAUAACUUCGGGAAACCGGAGCUAAUACCGGAUAAUAUUUUGAACCGCAUGGUUCAAAAGUGAAAGACGGUUUUGCUGUCACUUAUAGAUGGAUCCGCGCUGCAUUAGCUAGUUGGUAAGGUAACGGCUUACCAAGGCAACGAUGCAUAGCCGACCUGAGAGGGUGAUAGGCCACACUGGAACUGAGACACGGUCCAGGCUCCUGCGGGAGGCCGCAGUAGGGAAUCUUCCGCAAUGGGGGAAAGCCUGACGGAGCAACGCCGCGUGAGUGAUGAAGGUCUUCGGAUCGUAAAACUCUGUUAUUAGGGAAGAACAUAUGUGUAAGUAACUGUGCACCGCUUGACGGUACCUAAUCAGAAAGCCACGGCUAACUACGUG